rnacentral:rRNA from 1 species
AUUGAACGCUGGCGGCAUGCCUUACACAUGCAAGUCGAACGGCAGCACGGGAGCAAUCCUGGUGGCGAGUGGCGAACGGGUGAGUAAUGUAUCGGAACGUGCCCAGUCGUGGGGGAUAACGUAGCGAAAGCUGCGCUAAUACCGCAUACGAUCUAUGGGUGAAAGCGGGGGAUCGCAAGACCUCGCGCGAUUGGAGCGGCCGAUAUCAGAUUAGGUAGUUGGUGGGGUAAAGGCUCACCAAGCCGACGAUCUGUAGCUGGUCUGAGAGGACGACCAGCCAAACUGGGACUGAGACACGGCCCAGACUCCUACGGGAGGCAGCAGUGGGGAAUUUUGGACAAUGGGCGCAAGCCUGAUCCAGCAAUGCCGCGUGCAGGAUGAAGGCCUUCGGGUUGUAAACUGCUUUUGUACGGAACGGAACGGCGAGCUCUAAUACAGUUUGCUAAUGACGGUACCGUAAGAAUAAGCACCGGCUAACUACGUGCCAGCAGCCGCGGUAA